rnacentral:rRNA from 1 species
AGAGCGAACGCUGGCGGCAGGCUUAACACAUGCAAGUCGAGCGGGCGUAGCAAUACGUCAGCGGCAGACGGGUGAGUAACGCGUGGGAACGUACCUUUUGGUUCGGAACAACCCAGGGAAACUUGGGCUAAUACCGGAUAAGCCCUUACGGGGAAAGAUUUAUCGCCGAAAGAUCGGCCCGCGUCUGAUUAGCUAGUUGGUGAGGUAAUGGCUCACCAAGGCGACGAUCAGUAGCUGGUCUGAGAGGAUGAUCAGCCACAUUGGGACUGAGACACGGCCCAAACUCCUACGGGAGGCAGCAGUGGGGAAUAUUGGACAAUGGGCGCAAGCCUGAUCCAGCCAUGCCGCGUGAGUGAUGAAGGCCCUAGGGGUUGUAAAGCCCUUUCGGCGGGGAAGAUAAUGACGGUACCCGCAGAAGAAGCCCCGGCUAACUUCGCGCCAGCAGCCGC